GCAGAUGUGGCCGAGUGGUUAAGGCGACUGACUCGGAAUCAGUUUCCAUUUGGGAGCGUUGGUUUGAAUCCUACCAUCUGCG